AUUGAACGCUGGCGGCAGGCCUAACACAUGCAAGUCGAGCGGAUGAAGGGAGCUUGCUCCUGGAUUCAGCGGCGGACGGGUGAGUAAUGCCUAGGAAUCUGCCUGGUAGUGGGGGAUAACGUCCGGAAACGGGCGCUAAUACCGCAUACGUCCUGAGGGAGAAAGGGGGGGAUCUUCGGACCUCACGCUAUCAGAUGAGCCUAGGUCGGGUUAGCUAGUUGGUGGGGUAAAGGCCUACCAAGGCGACGAUCCGUAACUGGUCUGAGAGGAUGAUCAGUCACACUGGAACUGAGACACGGUCCAGACUCCUACGGGAGGCAGCAGUGGGGAAUAUUGGACAAUGGGCGAAAGCCUGAUCCAGCCAUGCCGCGUGUGUGAAGAAGGUCUUCGGAUUGUAAAGCACUUUAAGUUGGGAGGAAGGGCAGUAAGUUAAUACCUUGCUGUUUUGACGUUACCAACAGAAUAAGCACCGGCUAACUUCGUG
rnacentral:rRNA from 1 species